GCCGGUGCCUAAUAAUGCAAGUCGAGCGGACUUGAUGGAGUGCUUGCACUCCUGAUGGUUAGCGGCGGACGGGUGAGUAACACGUAGGCAACCUGCCCUCAAGACUGGGAUAACUACCGGAAACGGUAGCUAAUACCGGAUAAUUUAUUUCACAGCAUUGUGGAAUAAUGAAAGACGGAGCAAUCUGUCACUUGGGGAUGGGCCUGCGGCGCAUUAGCUAGUUGGUGGGGUAAUGGCCCACCAAGGCGACGAUGCGUAGCCGACCUGAGAGGGUGAACGGCCACACUGGGACUGAGACACGGCCCAGACUCCUACGGGAGGCAGCAGUAGGGAAUCUUCCGCAAUGGGCGAAAGCCUGACGGAGCAACGCCGCGUGAGUGAUGAAGGUUUUCGGAUCGUAAAGCUCUGUUGCCAAGGAAGAACGUCUUCUAGAGUAACUGCUAGGAGAGUGACGGUACUUGAGAAGAAAGCCCCGGCUAACUACGUGCCAGCAGCCGCGGUAAUACGUAGGGGGCAAGCGUUGUCCGGAAUUAUUGGGCGUAAAGCGCGCGCAGGCGGUUCUUUAAGUCUGGUGUUUAAACCCGAGGCUCAACUUC
rnacentral:rRNA from 1 species